AUUUUUUACCACCAUUGUUGGCAUUUUCACUGGAAGACAUUCCUCUUCCUCGCUCCCCACCCACCCAAAGGGAACGGGUAAGUCACCAACACAACAGUGUCUAUUUAAAUUGAGUAAAAUGGGCUCCAGCAAUUAAAAGAUGAUCGAAUCGCAAGCCACUCCUUGAGGCGAUGUCGUAAAAUAUCAACUGGACUGCCGUCAUUGAUACCGCACACAGUCGGCACCCGUCCAGGUUUUGCAUGAUAGAUGCUGGCAUGCACUUGAAACUGCUUCAGAAACUUUACCGGCAGGCUCUUCCUGAAUUACCUAUCAAAUGUUAUAGCUUCUCCUACAAGCAAUUUAAGGAGCUGAUUGGCUUUGUGAAUGCCCUGAAGCGCUUGUCAUUUGCCAGCCUGUGAGUCACAUCCCGGAGGAAAAGUCUCAGUUCCCGUAGAGUACCUUCCUCCUCCUCUUCUAGUCGUUUCACCUCUUCCUUGGAGAGACGUUGUGGUUC